GCAGCAGGCGCGAAAACUUUACAAUGCGGGAAACCGUGAUAAGGGAACUCCGAGUGUCCGUAAAUGCGGACUGUCCGUAUGUCUAAAACGCAUGCGAAGAAAGGGCCGGGCAAGACCGGUGCCAGCCGCCGCGGUAAUACCGGCGCCUCGAGUAGUGGCCACUAUUACUGGGCUUAAAGCGUUCGUAGCUGGGUUGUUAAGUCUCUUGGGAAAUCUACCGGCUUAACCGAUAGGCGUCCAAGGGAUACUGGCAAUCUAGGGACCGGGAGAGGUGAGGGGUACUUCAGGGGUAGGAGUGAAAUCCUGUAAUCCA
rnacentral:rRNA from 1 species